rnacentral:piRNA from 1 species
UACAGUUGACGUCGAACCUCGAGAUGGU